rnacentral:tRNA from 1 species
GGGCUCGUAGCUUAGCUGACUAGAGCAUUGGCUGUACCAAAGCCUUCCCUUUGCUGGCGUGGGUUCAACUCCCAUCGAGGCCG